UACGGAGGGUGCAAGCGUUGUCCGGAUUUAUUGGGUUUAAAGGGUGCGUAGGCGGUCUAUUAAGUCAGUUGUGAAAUACGGCAGCUCAACUGUCGAGGUGCAAUUGAUACUGAUGGACUUGAGUACUGAUGAGGUAAGCGGAAUGGACGGUGUAGCGGUGAAAUGCUUAGAUAUCGUCCAGAACACCGAUAGCGAAGGCAGCUUACUAAGGAGUAACUGACGCUGAGGCACGAAAGUGUGGGGAUCAAACAGG
rnacentral:rRNA from 1 species